rnacentral:lncRNA from 1 species
CACUACAAUGCGGCUUCCAAAUCGACGAUCGGCUCUGUUAGACUUGAUUUACACUAUUGAAAGUAUUUAGAAACUAAAUUUCAUAAUUUUUCGGUAUCAUUUAUCUAUCAAAUGAGUAGUUUAAAAAUGAACGGCUGAAAAAAAAAAUCUUAUAAAAAAUAAUGAUAAAAGACUUGAAUUUAAGAUCAGAGAUAUUGAUCUUACUCUAAAUAGUGAAAAGAAUUUUCUAUAAAAAUUUCAUCAAAUUUGGAUUGUUUUACACCGUUAAAUUCACAAACGUAUCAUAUCCACCAUUAAAAUUAUCAAUUUUGAAACCUUUUGAUCACUAGCCAGAUGAUGUCGAAAAAUUAUGAAAUUUAAUUUUCAAAUACUUUCAAUAGUAUAGAUCGAGUCUAACGGAGGCGAUCAUCGAUUUGGAAGCUGGAUCAUUGAAAACAACUUGGUAGCAUGGAU